AAGAGAGUUGAGCCGUCGGAGGUGGUGGCUACAUGCGGAAAUGCAGCAGAUAUGCCCGACCUGGAAAACGUUGCUGUCAUUAGGGCAAGUGUCAACCGUUAGAUCCCCUCCCAUGUAUUUGUACUCCCUAUUUAUCCCAUCCAUCUUCUCCCUCUUCUCUAUUUCUUUUCUUCACAUACAAAGAAAAGAAAAAAAAAACAUUAGUCAAUAGAGAGAAUACUCUUCUUCAUGGCCUCCUUUUUUUAUUAUUAAUAAAAUCAUUUUCACAGAGAGAGAGAGAGAGAGAGAGAGAGAGAGAGAGAGAGAGAGAGAGAGAGAGAGAGAUGGUUGAGAUCUGUGAAGGAGAGAAGAGCGCCGGGAGCAGCACCGAAGGCGGGAGCAGAUCCCCCAAGAAGAUGCGGGCUCUUGACUUGAAUGAAGAAGCUGGAAGCGAGGAGAAUGACAGUGGGACAGAGGCGACAGCGGGGACGGGUGGAAGCUCCAGCAACACCAGCACUACCAUGGAGGGCGGCAGCGAGCGGAUGGCUACUGUCAGGCAAUACGUUAGGUCGAAAUUGCCGCGGCUCCGGUGGACCCCUGAUCUCCACCAUUCAUUCGUGAAUGCGGUUGAGAAGCUUGGCGGUCAAGAUCGAGCAACUCCAAAGUUAGUACUUCAGAUGAUGAAUGUGAGAGGCCUUAGUAUUGCACAUGUGAAAAGCCAUUUGCAGAUGUAUAGGAGCAAGAAGCUUGACGAAUCGGGGCAAGUUUUAUCUCAAUCAGAAAGGCCAAUGCAAGGAGGAGAUCGGAUUUUUGAGAUGUUUAAUCAAAGAACAGCCUCUCAUCAGCACUUUAGAAGCGAGAAUGGGGACCUUUUCUCACCAAAGAAUUUUCACGGGCGUGACCGCCUUUUCAACCUUUUGCAACCGCCUAUCUCCCAACAACCACCUGAUGUCAGCACCGGCCAUUUAAGACAACAAGAAUGGUUUUUCAAUCAGUAUGCAGCAGUUGGACCCAGUUCUCGACCGGAUCAAGGGCCAAAUAGGGGCUUGAUUCAUAACAUGAUCUUGAGAAACAAUGGCAAGCCAUUGCCAUGGCAUCUAUUCAAUACAAAAGAUGCUAUCAUGGAUAAUGGUCCAAUCAGACCACCUCACCACCACCUUGAGGAAAAGAGGUGGGCCCCACAUGAGAUGGUCGUAGAUCAGAAGUAUACUGGCAUUGCUCCAAAUCUUCAGCGGAUUGGAUGUAGCUCCCAGCACCCAUCAUACCCGAAUCCUGCGCUAGCAAUUUCCAUGGAUGCAACCUAUGGCAUACAACCCUAUGGUAGGAUAAACAAUAGAAGCAACAUGCAACUUCACUCAAAUUCACACGAUUCUAUAAUCAUCACCGACCGCUUCGAGCCCCAGAAUAAGGCCCCAAUUCAGCUAGAGCUAUGGAGGCAAUUGGCAAUUAAGCCCAUGCUCGCCAUGGAAGAUAGCGUUGAGAAGAAGGAUAAGAAGAUGAUGAUGAAAGAGAAGACAUGGUUGCCCAACUUGCAGCUGAGUCUAUGCCCCAAUGUGGAAAUGGAAAGUACUAGUGAUGACGAUGAAGAUGAGGUGGUGGGCCAUGAGAAUGUGGAUCGGAUCAGUACUCCCCUCUCUCUUUCUUUAUCUCCUCCUUCAUCCAGGAAGCAAGCACAGCCAAGCGAAGAUCCGGAGGAUGCUGUAAGAAGGGAAUUUCAGUUUCUAGAAUCGGAGAGCGGCAGCAAGGCCGCAUUUGGGCUGAGUACUUUAGAUCUGACCAUGUCGAUUCGAACAUUGGAGUGAGAUCUUUCAAGUACUUGUCUCAAGGCCCUGGGGAGAAGUCCAACACAUGGGCAUGGAUGCCCACAACAGCAAAGGGUGUAUCUGAACAUGACUAAGUUAUAUUGCUGCAUUGGAUUCUUCAUCAACGCAUUGACUCGAUGGCAUGCAAUUCUAAGGGAAUUCUUAAAAUGAAGAGAUCUUUCUUUAGUUACGAACAACAUGCUUCUGGUGAUCAUGAUGAGAACCUAAGCUAAGCAUAGACUACCCCUCAAAGGGUUAAAGCAGCAAAAGCUUUGGCUCCACGAGAAUCACCUGUAAGAAGCUACUUGGAUUUGUACAAUGUGUAUUGUCUAGGUCAUGUUUGGAUGCAGAAGCGAAUUGGAUUUUGCAAAAAGUUUAAUCAAGAGGAAAUGACAAAAAUCGAUGAUGUAUUGUGGCAUUUGAAAUGAUAAAGCAUCCCUCAAGUUGUUUUUACAUUUCUUUCAAGUCCAGCUAGAAAGAAAUUUCAAUGCACUGGACUUUACAUUUUUAUACACUCAUACGCUAAGAAAAAGGGAAAUUAAAAAUAAAAUAAAAUCACAAUGCAGUUCGAUUGUCCAUCCAAACGCA